GGUCUGGCAGGAUGCUCCUGCGUGGGGGAGCAGCGGGCGCUGGCCGGGGCUGGGUACCAGCUCCGUGCUGGGGACAGGAGGGGAUGCGGGUCAGAGUCCGGGCUGAGAUGCAGGUUCUGACAGCACGUGGCGGCCGCGCAGUCGGAGCAGGGCUGGGGCUGCGCCGGUGGAUGGGCCUGGGCGUUGGGCGUAGGGUGGGAGCCAAGUCUGGGGUUAUGAGUAAGGUUCAAGAUUAGGUUUAGGGCUUUGUUUAGGGUUGGGGUAAGGCUAGGACUUGCCUGAUCUAUAACCAUUGGUGGUCGGGUGACUUUGGGAGCCAGGGAAAGUCUUUUGAUAUUGCCCAACCUUUCAGACUAGGGACACUUUUGAUGCUACAGUUGAGGCAAUGCUGUGAUGCUGGAGAAGUGUUUCGGACAGAAAAAUGAGGUCUAGUUAGAUCUAGAGUUACAAGAAGUUUACACUGGGGUGAGGGUAAUCUUUGGGGUUAGGUUUAGGGUGAGGGUGGGAGCCCUCCCAGCAGAGAUAUGUGCUGGGAGCUGAGAGGGUUUGCGCUUUGCUCUGGCGGGGGUUAGGCCAGGGUUUGAGUGGGGCUCUGUGGCCUCCAGAGUGGGAUUCCCAGGAGUCCUGCUCCACCUAGACAGCUGGGAAGAGGCUGAGCAUCAUCUGGGAUCCGGUCACAUCCAAAAAUGGUUGCACCACCAGUGCUCUGCCUGAAGACUACAGGGGACAAUUGUGACCCCUGUGCACCCUAAAACUAGUCACCCACUGACCCCAGGAGCCACCUCCCGUGAGCUGGAUCCUUGUGGCUCCUCUCCAACCAAAACCCUUCCAGACUGACUAGGACUGACUUUAUUGUGGGAUAAAGGGGACACGCUGGUGUCCCCUGGACACACCUUGAAGAGACCGGGGACAACAUUCCAGGCAGGAGGGACCUGGUGAGGGGAUCCAGGAGGGAAUGGGAGCAACUGUGGGGGUCACAUCCCAGGGCAUGGGUUGCCACAUGGGGCCACAGCCUCUGACUUCCUGGUGCCAGUGAAGGACCAGGAGGGACCCAUGGUGGAACCAUGCACCAACGGGCCAAACUGGUCCCACAGGGGAGCUGGGCCCAGGGUGCUCCUGCACCUCCCAGCCUGCUAAGGGCUCCAGGGCCCCAUGGCUGCCUCCUUCCCUCCCGUGGGGCAGCCCCGUGCUCAUGGCACUGGCCCUGGGGAACUGCUGCUUUGCCCCAGUUUCAGGAAAUGUGCCCCCAAAAGGAGCCUGGGUUCCCAUGGGGCCUGUGAUGGGUGCAGGGAAGAGGAGGAGAGGGGUGAAGAACGCACACUGGGCUUGGUCCUUGGUUGCUUGCUGGAAAAAUACUCCAGCACCGUGUGGAAGCAACCUUCCCCUGCGGCCUCACAGGAAUGGCUCCAUCAUGUGGAUCUCACUUGGUGCACCCCAGGGGACUACUGGUGCCUUUGAUGCACCCCAGGGAGCACUGGCUCCACGGCACAGUAGGCGAUGGAGGGACUGGGACAGGCUGAGCUCAAGCCAUGGACCAGUGUGUGCCCUUUGCUCCCAUUGCUGGCUCUAAAGGGGGAGGUGACAGCAGUUCCUACAAGAGAUAUGGGACAGCCUACCCCUCCUUCCCAAGCCUUGUGAUUUGGCUCCGAGCGUGAGGCCUUGGUGUUCUGGUCUAGCUCUGAACGUUGCUGAGAUGGCAGCAAGUUUCAUGGAGCUGUGGCUGAAGGGCUCACUUGUUGAGCUGUAUACCGCUGCCUUGGGAUCUCCUAAGGAUGCUCUGAUUCCCCCACCAUGGACAGAGGGUCAUCCUCGCCCAGGGAAACAGCUCCUGCAGCCCGCAGGGGCUUCUUGAAAAGAAAUGCCCCCGCUACCAAACUGAGCUAAGGCAGCUGGAUGGGAGCGUGCGGAGCAAGGGUUCAAGAGGAGCCACCACCAAGGCUUGCCUUUGUGUCAGGACUUGCCCUUCGGUGGCCCUGUUCCUCAGGGCCUCCUCCCUGGACCAGUCUGAGGCGAGCUGGGCUGGUUUGCCAAAUGCCACGUUGAGGUGUGGGGAAAUGCUUGGCACGUCGGUGUGGAUGCGUGCUCCAGCAAUGCUGGUGUCUUGCUCUGCCUGUGAGCAGGGAGCCCAUGGCUCAGCUCGUGUGCCUCCCUGCCUUAACAGCUUCACGGCUUUGGCUAUGCCUCGUAGCAUCAAGAGGAUUAUUAACGAAUGCACAAGCCUUUCUGUGCCCUUAGCCUGAGAGGGAGGAGGUAUUCCACCAUAGCCUCAUCUGCAUCUGUCUGGUGGAUGGUACCUGUCUCAAGGUACUGCACUGCUCGGGGCUGAGCUCUUAUUUUGUAAAGGUCCCUUCCCUGUGGAUGGGUACUGUCAGGGUGGGUGGAGAAGUAGUUCCCGGAGAGCAGCAGGCUGAAGAGAGAAAUGUGUGCUGAGAGAUAGCUGGUGAAAGCCUCCCGAGAAUUGAUAAGCUCAGAGAUGAGCAGUGGUGUUGAGUCUGCAGGAGCAGAUAAACUCAGGACACCAUGAGUCUGCGGAAGGUUUCUGAGGUCACCAGCACACUUGACCAUCAACUGUGUUACCAACACCAUAUCCAAGGAGGCAGGGGCUGCUCUGUGCAGACAGACUACAGGAUUAUACCCGCUGCAAGAGCAGACCCUCUGGGGCACCUUCAAAUUUCUUACUAGAAGCCCCAGACAUGUCAGCGUGUCUCUCCACUCCUCAGUCAACGGCUGGUGUUGGUCCCAUGUGGUGUGAGUGACUAGUUAUCUUCUGUUAGUUGUAACAGCUUGAGUCCGUUAACGGUAACGUGCUAACAAGGACAAGGUGUUCCAGUAACUGUUGGCUGUGACUUGAUGGUGGAUCUCUCUGUGUCCCCACUGAGGGCAAACAUUGGGAAGGGGGCAAAUCCUCAGGUUGGGAGGAGUUGUUACAAAUGUUCACCAAGAAUUUUGAAUCCAAGAAAAAGCAGGUGAUCUUUAUAUCUUCAGUUGGACAAAAGGGCACUCAAAUCAUUUUGCCAGCCUGAAACCCGGACUGCAAAUCAGCUUUUUUGUCGUGGGGGAAUAUGAAGUGUCGGGGUCCUAGGUGAUGGGGAAUGGAUGGAUAAAGCUCAAUAGGUGCAGUGAUUGAUGGGCCAUCCCGGGGAGAACUUCCCUGCAAGCGUGUUGUAAAUUGGAUUCCUUGGGGACCAAAAAGGAACAUAUUCUAAUGGAAGAGGAAAGGGAAAGGCUCAGUUGUGCAGUAGUGGUGGUAUGAAGUCUGGAAACUUGUGAGGUGCAAGAACACAGACAAGGAGGACGGCACACCACUGCUAGCAGUCCUGGAGACAUCACUGAGCCCACUGCCUGUCUGUGGUGAUGGCAAGACUGAUGGCCACAGACAGUAGAUGGGGAUGGCACAAACCUGCAUCCCCCACCUUUAGUUCAUCGUGAGAACAUCACAAGCACUUUGCUGCCCAAGCAUUUCAGCAGCUCCAGCUACUGGUCUGCUCAUAAAGGAGGAAGCCAGAAGCAUCAAGGCUGCCAUUAAGAUCUCAAGCAGAGCACAAAACCAGCAAGGUACUUCAUGCCUUGUCAUGGCCAGAGCUCAACCUGAUGCCACUGCUUCUAGGUGUGGCUUUGACUUGUCGUUACUACCAAGAGCAACCGAUCUGGCACGGAGGUCAAUGGUGAGAACUCCACACAGACCCUAUUGCGUGUUUUUGAUCAAAUUUUUCAGUAUCAAAAAAGGAAAACCCAAGCAGAGCGAACAUUUCCUCAUUCCCCGUCACCUCAGCGAGUCACUCGGAGAGCAGCUGUGGCGUAGAUUGAUGCUACCAACAUCACUUUGGCUUCUCUCCCUUGAUUCCUCUGAGCUUUAAUUUGUUCUUCCAUUGCUUUUGCCGUAUACCUCUCUCUAAGAACUAAGUGUGGAGAAAUUGUAGUGAUAACAUAUGAACUCUAACAUGUUCAUGGCACUUGGGAAGAGAGCUGCAGAGCUAUGCCACAUCUGAGGAUGAGCGAGACAUGGGGGUUGCAGCUGCUUGGCCAACAGGUCUACACAAGACUGUAGAGUUGAGCUCUCUGUAUGUUGCUCCCUUGGAAGCCACACAAGGAUUUAAAAGGUGACUGAAAGGUUUGUGGUCAUCACUGGGCAUUACAACAGGCAUGUACAAGAGCAUCAAGUCAUCCCUCUGAAGCUCCCUGACAGACAGGCUGGCUGCCCUCAGAUUUGACACUCUAUUUCACACCGCUCCCACUGGGUGGUGGGAAGAAGUGCAAGGCACUGCAGAGCUGGUUUCAGAAAUACCACUGCACAGGACACAGAUUCACCAUCCAGCUUAUGCUAAUCUGAAUGGGACAGGGAUGCUGAAAUACAAGGCAGCUAUUUGCUUUGUUUUGCAAGCAAAGUCCUUUUGAAGUUUAUUUUACAUUACCACCAUAACGGUGGGCAGAAGAACGCGGGGGGGGGGGGGGGCUCGCUGGGAAGCACGCCGUCUUCCUCCGUUCACUACAGAAAAUACAAAAAAAUCACUGUAGGGCACUUCUACCACCGCAUCGCAAGACUUGAAAACUGCUCAGUACCGGCUGUCGCUGCCGAUGGGGAUAUUGCUAAAAACUCCGCUUGAGGGCAGGCCAGCACCGGCCGUCACUGCUUUUUGCCCGGGAAUUGCCUCCUCUGAGCAGUACGCAGACUUUUUUCCUCCCUCAAAAGCACACCGGCUGUCACUGCCUGGCAUGCACAAGUAUUUGCUUAUAACUUGUUUUAUUUCAGCCUCACAAAAUAAACCCAGCUUAACAAAU